rnacentral:rRNA from 1 species
AACGUAGGACGCAAGCGUUAUCCGGAGUUACUGGGCGUAAAGCGCGGGCAGGCGGUUGCUCAAGUCUGAUGUGAAAUCUCCUCGCUCAACGGGGAGCAGCCAUUGGAAACUGGGCAACUGGAGUCUGGCAGAGGUAGGCGGAAUUCCGGGUGGAGUGGUGAAAUGCGUAGAGAUCCGGAGGAACACCAGUGGCGAAGGCGACUACCUGGCCUGUUCUUGACGCUGAGGCGCGAAAGCUAGGGGAGCAAACGGG